rnacentral:lncRNA from 1 species
UGAAGAGCAAAAUUCAGAAAACUUGGUGAAACCACUCUGUUGUCCAAACUUCAUAAUGACCUUACUGACAAGUUGGAUAUCAGUCCUAACAGCAUUUCUUCUUCUUUUACAUUUUUGGAGAGCAAAGACAUAUGCUUCUGGAAAUCCAGAAGAGGAAAUAGAUUACACAUAUGUUAUUAUAGGAACUACUCUGGGAGCACUUCUGUCAAUUGUUUUUGUAGCAUUAAUCAUCUGCAUGAUCAAAACCCAAAUGUUGGACCAUGUCUCUGGAGCUUCUGCACAGGCCUAUCACCACCCUGUUCCUAGUUUUGUAAUUAACCACAUUGUCUUGUUCUCUCUUUAG